ensembl:lncRNA
AUGGUCAAUCAGGACUCGGAACACAAUGUGUGUCACGGUUGGCUGAAGGACUGGACCAAGGUGCAGCAUGGUGCCACUGUCGCUGUGGACUCCUGCUCUGACCGUCCGGCAGCUCCUGUCCUUAUCACCGACAUCACCACCCGGACCCGUAAAAAUACCCCCCCCCCCCACACACACACACCACUUUUGUUGCACAUCAUCAUUCAACGUAAAUGUGGGGUAAAGACAAACCUGGAAAAUCAAUGUGUAUCCAGUCUUGAUAGGCUAGGCUACUACACUAGGUCCAGGGCUGCAUCCCAAAUGAUUCCCCAUUCCCUACUACUUUUGACCAGGGCCCUGGUUAAAAAGAAGUGAACUAAAUAGGGAAGAGGGUCUGAACUAUAUAGGGAAUAUAUAUAGGACUAUAUGGGGAAUAUGGAAUGAUUUGGGACACAGCCCAGGACCCAGUGUAGUAGCCUAGUCUUUACCCCCACAUUUAAAUGGAAUGACGAUGAGCAGUGAAAGCAGAUAAUACAGCCUAAGUGCCCUCUUACUGCGAAGGCUUUCCAAAGUCUACUGGGAAGUGGGGGUAGCAGGUGUGUGUGUGUGUGUGUGUGUGUGUGUGUGUGUGUGUGUGUGUGUGUGUGUGAGAGAGAGAGAGAGAGAACGGGUUUUUGUGACGUGUGUUUCAGUACUUUAACUUCCUCUUAUCAUGAAGUCGUGACUGUCAGACCCAUUUCAUCCAGGAGAAUAAGUUCGGCAUCACACGGAGAGCAGCAGGAGCCUCCAACUGCCUCGAGGCACUGAUAAAAUACACCAUCACGCGCUCUCCAGGCACACUGGGGAGCUAGCGGGCAGCCCACGUGCAGUUAGUGGUCCAAAACACUUUCUUCAAACAACGCAAUUGUUAACUAUACAAUCCUCACAGUUUACGUGGAUACAGUCCUGCAGCAAUUGUUAAACAAUUCUGCUGAAAAUAUGAAAAAUAAGGUAGACUAGGUUUAUUUAUUUAAGAUAUAUUUUAAUUUAUCCAUGUAUUAGCCUACAUCUGGCAGGCUAUCCCCUGCGUGUGAGGGGUCAGUCUAGCUGUCAAUGCAAGUCGAAUAUUGGGGAAUAAUUCCAGGCGCAAUUUGGAAAUAUGGUUCUCUGUUGAGUUGAGUUUUGUAACAGAGUAGCGCAGGCAUCCGUCCUCUCUCAGGCUUCCACCGGGUCACGUGACGCGUUCCAUUUCAGUUCGAAGCUCAGAGCGUUCUAACCCCGAAUCGUCCACGGAGCCAGCCCGAGUUUUAACGACAAUAAUUCUCUUAGACAUAGACCUACGGGAUAUAUUUAUAUGCCUAUCAUUUAUGAUACAUUUGGUGUGUAAAAAAAACAGUUCCAACUGAAAAAGAGAGGUUCGUCAUUUAUGCUUAUAAACGUGGCGUAGGGAAUACUGAGUGAAAUGUAGCCUAAACAGUUGCAAAAACAUAUUUCUCGGUUCUGUAGACAUGCGUAGCAUGGUAGAAUAGGGACACCGAUCGAAUUUAGCUCAAAUAUCAACGCGGCGAGUUUGUGGCGUUUGGCUGAAACCGCAAGUCUGAGGAAAGGCGCGGGCCACUCCGACGGACGACGAGGAUACGACGUGAUUUUGUUUCAAUAACAGAGUUACAGGGAAUUUCAAUGUGAUCCAUUACGUCCAUCGACAUGUUAGCACAUUAAUCUGUACGCAUUCGAUUUCAAUUUGUUAUUGUGACACACCACUCGAAAGUGGAGGGGCAAAGAUCAGAUCAGGACUGAGUGCACGUGUUUGUGAGAAUUACCGGAGACGCAGACAUCUAAACGGAUCGGUUCGUACUCUACAAAGACCACGACGCGGUUAAUUUCUGACGACUUCGAUGGUGUAUGAACGCGUUGACAGUCCUGGAUCUACAGCUGCGCUUUGCCGUCAACUUUUGACACUCUCUCCCGGAGAUAAUAACCCCACUCCGGCACACCCCCAUCCAAGUUCUGAGCGUCGGAUUCCGGGGAAGGGAAGAAGGGCACGGAGGAGAUAUGGCGGUGACCGUGACUUUAUCGCUCUCUCUUCUUCUCUUAUCUCUCUCAAGUAAGUAGCCUUAAUGGUAAACCGUUUGUGUUUGUAAAUGUCAUGUUUUGCACGCAGAAGACUAACUCAAAAUGAACGCUGCUCGGGUUGCCAACAUUGUUUUUAAAUUAGGCAAUGUCAUGAAGUCGUUUGUGAAAUACAUCUAGGCUAUAAACUACAGACUGAAAUAAAACGCUUUUCGAAAUGUAUUUGGAUAGGCUAUUACUCC